AGCGAACGCUGGCGGCAGGCUUAAUACAUGCAAGUCGAGCGCCCGUAGCAAUACGGGAGCGGCAGACGGGUGAGUAACACGUGGGAACAUGCCCUUCGGUUCGGAAUAACUCAGGGAAACUUGAGCUAAUACCGGAUACGCCCUUACGGGGAAAGAUUUAUCGCCGAAGGAUUGGCCCGCGUCCGAUUAGCUAGUUGGUGAGGUAACGGCUCACCAAGGCGACGAUCGGUAGCUGGCUGAGAGGAUGAUCAGCCACACUGGGACUGAGACACGGCCCAGACUCCUACGGGAGGCAGCAGGUGGGGAAUAUUGGACAAUGGGCGAAAGCCUGAUCCAGCCAUGCCGCGUGGGUGAUGAAGGCCC
rnacentral:rRNA from 1 species